AACGAACGCUGGCGGCAGGCCUAACACAUGCAAGUCGAGCGCACCCUUCGGGGUGAGCGGCGGACAGGUGAGUAACGCGUGGGAACGUGCCCUUCUCUGCGGAAUAGCCUCGGGAAACUGAGAGUAAUACCGCAUACGCCCUUUGGGGGAAAGAUUUAUCGGAGAAGGAUCGGCCCGCGUUGGAUUAGGUAGUUGGUGGGGUAAUGGCCCACCAAGCCGACGAUCCAUAGCUGGUUUGAGAGGAUGAUCAGCCACACUGGGACUGAGACACGGCCCAGACUCCUACGGGAGGCAGCAGUGGGGAAUCUUAGACAAUGGGGGCAACCCUGAUCUAGCCAUGCCGCGUGAGUGAUGAAGGCCUUAGGGUUGUAAAGCUCUUUCAGCUGGGAAGAUAAUGACGGUACCAGCAGAAGAAGCCCCGGCUAACUCCGUG
rnacentral:rRNA from 1 species